rnacentral:lncRNA from 1 species
GGAACAAAAAGAAAAUUCCCAGAAAAUAGACGCUACCCCUCCCUCCUCUCGUUUCUCCCCCGCGCGCGUGAUGAAAGUUCGGUACGCAUCUCGCGCAGAGACGCGCUAGACGAUGAAGAAACGCCUUUUUCUGCUCUAUACAGUCUCGCCAGCUGCGUACUCCAGCGAAAUCAUCCUUGCUCGCUUGGAGAUGAGGACACGUCGCAUUGCAAGGACAACCAUUCCAUCUCGACCGUCCUUCCCUCCUUUUCGUUUCCGGAAUGGGGCAGACUUGCGGAAAAAGGGUGUCGCUCCGUUAAGGGAAAGGAAUUAAAAAUUUGAAUUCGAAAUGGGCCUCAAAUCGUCCCUCCAGCCCUCUCCCUCGAAACCCUAGUUGCUCUUCCUAUUUAAACUCUGUUUUGCUUCAGAAUUUGGGGGUUAGCAAUUUUGGGGUUGGAAUUUUUUUGGAAGAAAGUUUUCACGGGGAGAGUUUGAGAAUUGAGUUUAAGACUAAUGGCCUUUCUAUUCGUCUGGUUUUUUUUUUUUUGGUAAGAAUUGAAAGAAGCACAGAAGGGAAGUUUUGAGGAUAAUUGAGAGUUUCUCACAGCGGUUCGAACAAGAAGAAACAAUUUCGUCGAGAGUCGGUGUGACGUUCUAGUUCAAACGUGCGAAGCGGAGGUGUGGUUUCUAGUUGGUUGAAGCAUCGCUGUUGUGCUCAUAUCGUCCCAGUGUUGCUGCCCCGGAAAAGGUAUCGUCCAUCUCUUUCCAACUUCCUUCAUCUACGUGCGUCGAUGCGCUGUUUCUUAGCUGUGUUUCUUAGCUGUGAUUGUUAAUGUUUCCUGGUGAUAUUUUGAAUCGUUAUAUGUGUUGCUGUUCAUAUUGUUGUUCUUUCGUUUUGUUUUGUGUCAAGCUGUUUGAGAUACACGAGUGUGAAUGUACAGUCAGUUUGGCUCUUCUCUACAGUUUGUUUAUGUUGCUGGCUGCUCUGUUCUGCCAUUUAGAACUCCUAUUUGUGGUGGCCCAAUCUCGCAACUUGAACGAGAUUGUUGAAUUAUAUAAUGGCAAAAGUUUCAGGUUGCGAGUUCUAAUCCCAUGAGUUUUGCUUUAAUUCUAUUUGGUCACUAUUUAUUUACAAUGCGUGAAAUAGGUGAUAAGUUUCUGUAUGAAAUUUCUGUUUAUAUAUCUUAAGUUACUGGUGGAUCUAUUUGAUUAAAAGAGGAGCAUUUCUUAUGUUUUAAAAGAUCAAUUUUUGUCUCUCUAUAUGAAGUUGUAAUCAACGUCCUUGAUAUGCUACAAUACCCUGAUCCAACUGCAUCAUUCCCUCCCUUCCUUUGAUUAGUUGAAAUCCAUUUGGCUUAAUUUUUAGUUACUUAUCUAUGCCUAGUUCUCUGGAAAUUGUACUUGUGAUCAAAAUAGUUAUUAAGAUAGAAGCAUAUAUAGCCGAUUCAUUUGUUUUAUCGUUUGGACAGGAAUAUUGGUUAGAUAUCACAUGUGAUCUAGUCCCCCAUACCAGUAGCUUCAUGUCAAAAAUUAGUCCUUUAUUUCAUAAUAUGUGGUUUUAGUUUGAGGUAAUUCUAGUGAAGUGUUAAAUAUUUCUCUGUUUAAUACUUCUUAUUUAAGGUUGGUUUUCCUUUGCUAACAUAGUUUUGUCUUUCUUUUUCUUUGCGAUAAAAUCUGUCCGGGUUCUAACAUGAACUCCUAUAUCCUGCUAGCUUCAAUUGUGUUAUGAUGUUUAUCAUUUUCAUCCCAAGUAAUGUUGUGUUGUUUUCUUUUGUUAUAGUGUUCAAAUGAUCAGUUUGCCAUGUGUAUGUCAUUUUCUUCAAUAAGUCCAAAGGGAAUAAGUUCCUGCUUUGGUAUAUAUAUUAAAUAGCAUGCUUAUUUUAAUGAUGUUAUCAGUUGUGGUCUUGUUGCCUGAUUCUCUCCUUGUUUAACUUGAAUGAAAUUAUGUUCAAAUCCAUGUUACUUUAGUCACAUGUUGCUUACAUUGCUUUUGUUUUGUUUUGUAUGAACUUGCCCCUUCCGAGUCCAUGUGGGAUCUCUCUCUUGCAUCCUAAAGAGAGUCGUAAAGACUCACGUUUUCCUGUCAUCGAGUAAAGCCAAGGACAAUGCAAAAAUGAUCGAAGAUCGAAGCAAUCAAAGAAGGCGAAAUUGGAUUUUUAUUUACUUUCUUGUACUUUGUUUGUAAAGGGCAUAAGUCCUUGUGGUUUUAUUUUUCUUGUAAUUAUAUUUGUAUGUUUAAAUUAGGACAGGUACAAAAUGGGUCGAAAACUCAAAAGCAGGUGGGUCCAAAAUUCGGUCAAGGCGAACAGAACCCGAAUUUGGACCCAAAAAUAUCUCUCUCUCUCUCUAUCUUGUUUUACUACUUGUUUAUGUUUUUUUUGUUUUGAAUGUCGUUAACUUAGGGUUAAAAUAACUCCAAACCCCCUUCGAAACGCCUAUCUGUUCUAUCAAAAAUUAAAAAAAAAAUGAAAAUCAAAUCUUAAAAAUCUCAAAACUCGUGAAGUUUGUUUAAACAAAAACAUUAAGAAAUUCAACUUCGAAACAGAUUGGCAAAUUGCAAGAUAAACAACAAAGUAUUCUAAAAAAAUUAAAAUUCGCCUAAGUAAGUUUCUAAUAAGUUCAAUAACAAAAGAUUGCAAAAGUUAAAAUAAAAAUAGUCAAAUUGUUAAUCGCCAGAAAAUCGUAUUAAACGGAGCGUCAUAGGUGCCUUCAAUACCUUGCUAAGACGGUAAUAUGAAUUCCGAACCCAUAGAAUGUUUUCAAAAAUGAUUUUUCCUGUUUAAGUUGUUUUGGAAACGAGUUUUCUUAAUUUUUCUUACAAAUUAAGUGGCGACUUCUAAAAGUCGAAAAUACCUUUAAAAUAAAACAAACUCUUUUGAAAUUAUUUUUCGAUAAAACAGACAUUAUAUAAGUUAUCCUCUAAAACACUCAUAAUGUAGCCCUGACAUAAGAAAACAACACAUUUCCAUACUUCAAUAAUCAUAAAUUUUUCUUUGUCUGGAAUUUCAACAACAUGCACCAAAGUUUCUUCACUGGUAAAUUUUUGCAGAGCAAUAGUGGUAAGCCAGAAAAAUAUCCGUUCCUGUCAUGCUUUGAAAUUCAUACGUGAAAACUUUCCUGAUUUCUCUGCUAGUGGUACAAAAGUCUGGGUUGGUGCGACAAUUGCCAGUGUAACAUCAUUGUUUCGCAUUUCUGAUAAACAAAAAAUGAUAUUUACUUAGUAAGCAAUAGCUUUAAACUGCAGACAUAAUAGGAGUAUUAAACUAUGAAGGUUUUUGUCUCCAUCAAAAACACAGACCAAAUGUAAAAUACUAAUUUUCUUAAGAUUGUUGCACAAUCUGUGUUUUAAAUAUAAUUAUUGAUUUAAUAAUACUUUGCAGAAACACAAAGUUACCAAAGUUUAGUGAAUGAGUAAGAACAUAAGAACAUAAAUGAAUUCACAAUAACUAAAAUUUAUAAAAUAUACCAGAAUCUGGAAAAGACAUAAUGGAAAGAGAUCAAUCCCACUGAAUGCACAAUAUCCCCUUAAGGAAAUUAUCCCCUCUUGGAAUAUGUCCUCCAGGAAUAGAAUGAUCUUUAUCACUAGUAUUGAAACCCAAAAUUUUUUGGGUUAGGGAAACUCUCAAUGACAGUAAAAUUCAUGAAGAAACUUUGUGCAGAAGAAGAAAAAGAAGAAGAUCAGAAAAAUUUGUAAGGAAAUAGGCUAAAGAAUCAAUGGUAUUUAUAACCAAGAUGGAAUGGUUCUAAAAGAUUGAAACCUUCCAUAAUCAUUACGACCAUUCUUCAAAUUUUCCAACCUUUCAAACAGUCAUGGCUAUUCCUAAAAGUUGCAACCUUUUUAGGAAAUUCAAAUAUAAUGGAAAAGUGUAAAUAAAACGGGUUGCUCGCGGAUUUGAGUCAGUUCGCAAUGUUUUGGUUAAAUAACUAACAAAAAAAUUGUCUAAAACCCCCCAAACCUAUACUCGAAAACCCAAAUACACACUCCAAAUUCACGGGUGUCCUAUUACCCAUCUUAACUUUAUAUUUUCUAUUUUCUACACACCUAAGUGCUGACCUCAAUACAUAAACUAAACAAUUCAUGUGGCAUGAUUCCACACUCUGGGUCUCCCGCCUUGGAACUCCCAUUUCUUGGUUAUUCCCAUUUCCCUCCUAAAAUGUAAAAGAACAAAAAAAACCCUUCUUUCUUAUUUUCAUAUCUUCUUCCUUUUUGGUGAUCAUCAAACGAUUUUGACAUUAUCAAAUAAUUUUUGCUAUGUAUUGUCAACUUCAUUUUGUAGUUUAUCAACAAUUAAUUUUUCCAUCAUUGAAAGGUUAGUUUUGUAUUCCUGAAUUUUCAGUUUGUGUUUCAUCCCCUAGGGUUUUUGUCUAUUCAUGAAAUUAGGAGAAACGUUGUAUGAAAUCAUACGUGUGCCUUACAAUUAUAGUGUUAGGCGUUCAUUUAUACAAUAUUAUACCAUAUUUUUCUUGAAAUUCUAUUUUCCCUUUCUCGUCUAAGUCCCAUAAUUUUCUAAUCUAUUCGUGUUAGUAUUGUGUUUCUCCAGUUUUGUAUUUAUGUUCUUCUUAGUAUUGUAUUCCUAUAGAAGCUUUUAGUUUUCUAUUGUGUUGUAUUUGUGCUAAUAGAUCAUGUUCAUAGAUAAGCUACGUUGAUAUACCGUGGUUUCACGAUAUUUUUAAUGCUCUUUCCUUAAGUUUAGUGUGUUUCCAAAAGUUUUUUUGCAUUGAUUUUUAUAUAAGUUUCUCUUUAUUUGUAGAAAAUCUGUCUAAAGAUGAACACGGAUGUUUUUGAGCAAGAAAUGCAAAAAUGUUACCACCUACGGAGCUUGUGACGGUCCGUUGAGCUUGUGACGGUCCGUAGGUGGCAUCGUAGUGAAGCUGCUGAAAGAAGAUAAAGAAGUCUGACCUAAGUGUAGGAUUACGAAGUUCAUGACGGACCAUCAUAGCAACGACGGUCCGUCCUGCUGGUUCGUCGUGAUGAUCAGAGAAGUAGUCCCAGUACCCAAAUUCCAAGAAGUUUAAGUGUUAUGGAAUGGAUACCCUCAAGUGGACCGUCGUGCCUUUGACGGUCCUUCAUACCUAUUCGUCGAGGGUAGUGAAGAAAUUAGCAGAAGGAUUGGUAAAGUAUAGGAUGAUGGAGGCCAUGACGGCCCGUCGUGACCACGACGGCCCGUCACAAGAUCCGUCGACUCGGACGCAUUUUGACAGUUUUCAGCAAUUAGAGUCCCUCUUUUAUUAGGUUUUUGUUUUUUAUAAAUACUUGGAAAAACCUCGUUUUGGGGGUUAGACUCAUUGGUUGUUAGACUCCCUUAGAUUAGACUCUCAGUUGUUAGACACUUUUAUGUUAGAUUCUUUGUUAAAAGAUUUUUUUGGAUAUUAGACUUUGGAUCGUUAAACUUUUCUUUGGAGUUGAUUGUUGGUGAUUUUGUCGAUUAAUCAAGUAAAUUUCUGGAUUUUAUUCUUUCUCAUUGAAGUAAGUGCAUGAAUUCUUAUAUUACAUAUAUGAAUAUUGUGAUUAUGACUAUGGGUAAGUAAACUCCAUAACUAGGGUUGUGAGAACCAUGAGUUAAUAAUGAGGUAAAAUCUAACUAAAAUAAGAAUUCUAAAAUAGUGUCUUGAAUGUAUUGAUAAUUCUUUUUUUUACUUUUCAACGGAUGGCCAAUGUUAGAACUCGUCUUAAUGCUACUUGGUGGACAAAGGAGGUAGAUAAUAGGAAAAUUAUUAUCAACAUUGAUUUAGUGUAUACUAUCUAAUAGGCUAGUAUUGAUCGGUACGAGGCAAUAACUUAGUCAAAUAUCAAAUACAAUGCUUAAUAUGAGGUAAAGUUAAAGGUUAGUAUAGAAAUACAUAUAGCCGGACCAAUGUGCGGAGUGAAAUUUUCUAGAUGCCGAACCAAGGAGUUAGAAAUACAUAACUUAUCAGUUUGCAUGCAAGAUACUAGGAAAUAAUUGUUACAGUUAGAAUUAUCAAGUUAGGAACCUGUGGGAAACACUUAAACCCUAGUUACUUUUAUUAAUUGAUUAAACUCCAAGAUUUGAUUCUGUUAGUUGGUUACUUUAAUUUAGUUAGUUAUUUUCAUUCAUUUAGAAAUAAAGAACACCCCUUUAACUGUCUUUUGUUUUCUACGGAAAUAAUUGACUAAAUAAUAGUAAUAAUACAUUAAAGUUAAGUAUGAACUAUUUUCCUCGUGGGAACGAUCCGAACCUCAUUAGUUGGAUUCUUUACUUGAUACGACCGCUUUACUUCUUAUUUGAGAAGUAAGUUUGAGCAUAUCAUAGUGUUUUAUUCUGUUCUUUUGCUACCUUGUUUUAUUUUGUUCGUCUGUUACUAUGUUUUAUUCUAUUUGUUUUAAGUACUAUUCUAUUUUUUUGGAUUGCCCUCAGGUUUGAGUAUGUCUAUAAUUACUAUUCUGUUUUUUUAUUGCCUUUAGAAAAGAGAAGAGUGGGUUUACUUUGAUAACUCUAAGGCGGUACCACAAAAAGGUCUUAGAUUUAAGUAGUGGCGAACCUAUAUAUAUUGGUGGAAAAUUUACAGAAUUUCUUGAUAUUGAUGUAGAUUAAAUAUCAUAUUUUCAGUUGAAAGACUAUAUUAGAGAAUCGGGAUAUAGUACAACUUGAACUUGUAGUAUUAAAGAACCUACUAUUUUCAUUUUGCUAGAUGUUGAUAAUGAUAAGGAUAUUUAAACAUUAUGUGUUCCUUGGGAGAUGGGGCUGAAGUAGAGGUAUUUGUUAGCACUUGGUUGAUGAGGCAAUUGUGGGGUCCAUGCUAAUAGAAAAUGAUAGUUAUGUUGGUAUAGGAGAAUCUGGUUUAACUUUUAAUACAAGGCCUAGUGAAAGUGAAACUUUAACUUUGGGUAGGGGAAGACCAUUUAAAUAGUGAGGACCAUGUUGCUACUUUUUCAACCUCACCUUUUUUCACUAGAACACCUACUUUUGAUACUGCUACAUCAAAUGGUAAAAAUAGAUGUUCGUACUAUUGGACCUGAUUUCUCAGAAGAAGAAGUAGAGGGUUCUGCUUAUUCAGUUGAGGAUUGGGUUGAGUCUGAAGCUGAAUUAGUUGGAGAUCAUGUUGAGGAAGAGUAUGAAUUACCAUUGUAAAUUUAUUUUUUUGUAUUCUUGAUACAAAUUAAUGAUAAUGUCAUUAUUUUGGUAUUUAGUAUUGACUAUGUGAUUUUUUAUACUAUAAAGCAUAUAGGGGGAGCAUUUGUUUUAUAAUAAAGCAUUCUCGACAUUGAACUGAAGAUAAUUGCUAUGUUGAUUAAACAACUUAGGAAAUUAUGAUUAAAGAAUAUGCAUCGUAUAAAGAUUUAGUUGAUGAAGUUGCUAAUCAGAUUGGGAUUGAUUAGAGGUAUAACAGAUUGAAACUUAAGUAUAAAAUAGAAGGUAGCAUUGCACCUUUGGAGAUACACAAUGAUAUGGGAAUGAGAGUAUGUGUCUCAUUGAAGAAAGAAGCUCGAGAAUUCGCAAAGUACCCCAUUUUUGUAACUGUAUUUGUGAAUGAUCGUGAUAUAAAUUGUAGAAAUCAGUAUGAAGAAUAUAUUGACAUGUGUAUGAUAAACGGAGGAAGUACUACUGAUAACCAAGCAAUAGUUAUUAGUGCACCAUUAAUCAGUAAUGAGUUAAGCAACUCUACUAUCUGCAAUAUGAAUCAUAAAGAAGUCAUUGAGGAUCAAGUUUAUAAGAAUAAACGUACUUUGAAAGCUGUGAUGAUGAAAUAUGCCAUUGAUAAUAGAUUUCACUGGAAGACAGAAAGAUCAAGUUUAGUAAGGUAUUUUGUAUUUAUAUAGAUUUUAUCUUUUGUUGUUAUAGUAAUUAUUCCAUAUAGUAUCAUGUAUUAAUUUAUUUUAUUUAUUUUCUUUUAUAAUUCGAGCAGUUAUACACUUGUUUGUGUAUCUGAAAAUUGUGGAUGGAUAAUGAAGAUUCCAACAUCAAUCAAUGGGAAUGUUUAAAAUUAGAAAGUAUAUAGCUGAGCAUACAUGUUCGUUAAAAGAUAAGGUGUAUAGUCAGAGACGAGCAACAAGAAGUCUUGUUGGAGGUAUAAUAAAGCCCAAUCUAGUUGAUCAUAAAAGAAGGUUGACACCGAAAGACAUACAAGUUGAUGUUAGACUCGAACUUGGUGUAGAUGUAUCCUAUUUUGUGGCAUGAAAUGCUAGGGAAAAGGCAAAAAAUACAUUAAGGGGAACACCAUCUGAUUCAUAUAGUAAAUCACCCAGUUAUUAUAUAUAUUGGACACCACUUAUCCUGGAUCGCAUAUAAGAAUGAAGAAGACGGAAGAAAAUGAAUUUCUAUUUGUCUUUAUAGCUUUGUUUCCUCUAAUAAAAGGUAUUGAAAGUUGUAAGUCAAUAGUUGUAGUAGACGGAAGCCAUCUCAGGGGGGCUUAUAAUGACACAUUUGUGUCUGCAAGCACACUGAAUGAAGCAGGUAACUAUUAGAUAUUUAUAUUUUUAUAAAAAAUUACGCACAGUAAUAUAUUCAUUAAACAUGUAUUUGUUGUAUUUGCCGAUAUGCAUCCUAAUGUUUGCAUUGUAUAUAUUCAGGAAAAUAUUGCCCCUAGCAUACGGUAUUAUUAAUUCGGAAAAUGAAGCAUCUUGGACUUGAUUUUUUAAACAAUUUAGAGAAGCUCAUGGUUUAAAGGAUAAAAUGUGUGUUGUAUUCGACAGAAACGAGAGUAUUAUAUAAGCAGUUUUGAGGAUAUACAAUAAACCACAUUAUGCUUGCACGUUUAAUCUAUGAAAGAACGUGAAGACACUUUACAAAAAGCCACAUGACAGUCUUUCGGAAGUGUUUUAUGCAAUGGCAAAGGCAUACAAACAUUUUGAAUUUAAUGAACUGAUGAAAAAAGUAGAACAUGUUGAUAAUAGGGUGAAGAAUUAUUUGGAAUUGGCUGAUUAUGAUAAAUGGUCAAGAGUGUAUGCAACAGUUGAUCGAGACACUGUGAUGACAUCAAAUAUAGCUGAAUGUAUAAAUGCAUGCCUUGUGGAAGCAAGGGAAUUGCCUAUAUAUGAUUUUGUUGAGGAAAUUAGACAAAUAUUUGGUCGAUGGAAUUUCAAAAACGAUACAUCUACUUCUAAUACAUUCACGACACUUUGUGGUAAAGCACAAGAAAUGCUCGCUGAAAAUGAAGAACUUUCACUGCGUGUGACGGUAUGUUUAUGCUUCCUUAAAAGUGUUUUAUUAUGCAUUUAAUUCAGUAAAAAUUAAAGAUUAUAGAAUUGGUAUGAUUUAACUUCCUUUUAGAUUUGUGUAAUAGGUAGUUGCGACAAGUAAUUAUGUGCACAGUGUUCGUCAUGAAGGGGAAACAUUUAUUGUUUGUCUUGAAAAGAAAACUUGCACAUGUAGGAGAUUUCAAGUGAAUGAAAUACCAUGUUCGCACGCUUUGGCUGUUUUAAAGGAGAAAUUUCUUGAUCCUGAACCGUAUUGUUCUGACCUUUACAAGUCAAAUACAUUACUUGUUACAUAUGAUAAUCCAAUUAAUCCAUUACCUAAUCGAAAAGAUUAGAAUGUGCCUACAUAUGUAGAGAAUGAAAUAGUUAAGCCUCCAAAGUUCAAAAAACUACCUGGUAGGCCUCCAAGAAAGCUUCGUGAUAAUACGUACAACGAGCUAUAUGGAAAGAAGAACAAGAAUUGUUGUAGUACAUGUGGUCAAAAGGGACAUAAUAGGCGAUCAUGCACGAAUGGACCACGAACUGAAUAGUUAGAUAUGUUUGAUUUUGUUUUGAAAAAUAAAUUUACAUGUGUUUGUACAAAUCGUUUAUCCUUGUAAUUGAUGUUUUCAUAAUGUUCAAUGAAUAAUAUUUUAUCAAAAUAUGUUCGUUUGCGCGUAUUUACUUGUAUACUAUUAAAAAUAUUGUAUUUGUAAUCUAUAACUUAAACAUUCUUAAAAAAUAAAGUAAACAAAAAUUAAACAGAAAUAAAAUAAAAUAAAGUCGUUUGAUAGCUCACUCCAUAUUAUUGCCUAUCACAUUGUAUAUUAAUAAGCUGAGAAUUCAAUAUGUAUAUGUAUAUGCAAGAAGACCAAAAAAUAUGACUUGAGAAACUGUGAUUUAAUGUUCAUAAACAAAUAUAUUUGACACUAUAUAAUACAACUAAUGUGACGAAAUUUGAAAAUAAAUUAGAUUUUAAUACAAACAAUACAACUACAAGUAAUGUGACAUAAUGAAUAAUGUAAUACAACAAUUUUACAACGAUGAAUACAACAUACAAAAUACAACACAUGAAAUCAACGAACAUAAUAUAUAUACAUAAAAUCAAAAUGAAAAGUAUGCAGAAUAAACUGCUAAACAAAAGUUAAUCAAAAUGAUAAGUAUGCAGAAUUAUCAGCUACGUAAAAGUUAAUCAAAAUGAUAAGUAUGCAAAAUAUAAAGAUAUAUCAAAGUUUAUGAAACAUAAAUUAAGUAGUUUGAAAACACGAAGAAGUAUCUUCAACAAACGCACACUACUGUAUUUCAAUUGGAGCAGACACAACACGAACAGAUUUAAGCAUGGUAUGCCUAGGGGGUGCCUCAGAGUCACUAAUGGCUCCGUUGUCUUGCUUUUGCUUAGCAUAAUUCUAAAGAAGUGCAGCAUAUCUUGACCUUAAAAACAUUAUGUCAAAUGUACCACUUGGAUUUCCUUGACCAUAAGACAGCCACUCGGCAAAAGCAAGCAUAUAGAUACCACAAUCCCUGAAUAAAACAUGAGAAUACAAAAUUAAAAUUCAAAUACAAAUAAAAAUGAAAUACUGAAUUAAAAUUAAUACAACUUACAAGCUGCCAUCAGUCUGUUGAGAUAUGUUGUCUAUGAAAACUAUCUAUAAUAACUCAUUCUCUUCUUGAGUAACAGAUCUAUAUAAACCUCUGUUCUUGUAAUAAUCAUACAUAGUCAACUUAAGAGGAAUGAGUUGAGCAAACUUGGUAACCUCUUUCCUGAAUGCUGCAUCAUGACCUGCCGCUCUGUAAGAAUCAUAAAUGUAUACACAUUUAUCAUUAAGAGAGAGUACCGUCAACGCCCAAUGAAAUUUUUCCUUUACAUUUACAGGGAUAAAUACGUGAUCCACCAAAUGCCACGGAAUGUCAGCAUGAACUUUAUACCCUCUAAUGUAAUCACCGAUAAAAUGCUCUUCAUCAGCGCAACAGACAUCACUAUCUAAAUCUUCAUACUUCUUUCAAAUUGAUGAAAUUUUGAACGUAAACAUACAAUCCAAAGUUGUGUAUUUAUACCUGCUGUCAACAUCAUACUUGGCUUUCUUUCUCAUAUAAUCGAAGAUAACAUUGAUAUGCUAAACAAUAAAAAAUAAAUAAUCAUUAGAUAACAAUAAAACAACGAAGAAUAACUAAAUAACUACAGUUGUUACUUACCGAAUCAUUCAACAAUUGUCCUUUUGAGUACAAAUUAUAGAACUAAUUUUUAUUGUCUACAAUAUCAACACCAAAGUCAAAUGGGGCUGGAAUGCGUGCUUUACCCUUCUUGUAUCGGUCUAAACAAAUACACAAAAAAUAAAAGGUAUGCAAUUUGCUUAAAUUUCAUAUUGAUUACAUAGAAACAUAGAAAUUUAUAUAGGUAUCUAAUGUAUUUGUGAAAAUAUGCACCAGAAUUUAGAGUAACAUACAUAGCAACAAAUAAAGAUCUGGAUUGUUAUUACAAUACAGAAUUUUAAAAAGAUUAACAAACAAUAUAUGAAUUGUUUCAAUUAAUUUAUAAUACAACGUACAUUAGCAUUCAAUAAGUUGAUUAAUUGAAAAUACACUAACAUGUUUAGAAUACAGUAAAAAAAACGAUUCAUAUUAAUAACUGAUUAUGCAAAAUAACCUCAAAAUAAUAAUCAUGAAUACUAAAAAAAAGUAUCAUAUACUAAAGAAAUGGAGAAUACAUAAUACAGCAUACACUUUUUUUAUAUUAUUAUGCAUCUUAAAUACUUACUUAUUCUCAUGUUUUGCAAGAAGACCUUCGCGAAUCCAUGACUGGUGUGCAUCCCACAUAAUGAUAUCACGAUUGUCAGAAAUAAGAUCAAAGAUGAACGGGUGUUUCAGUUCAAAAAUAAUUGGCUGCACCGAUGAAGUACCUGAUGUAAAUAUUAAAUUAAAAAAUAACAUACCAUAUACAAAAAUUAGAAUAAAUAUAUAUAAAUCAGAUUUAAAAUACAUUAAAAUUUGUUAUGUCUUUAUACCUGCAGAUGAGUCGAACAAUGUCAGAUAUGGGGAUGUAUUGAAAGGGCCUGAACGUCUAAUCCUAUGCGCAGGUAAUGGUGUGUGAACAUGACUUAUUUUGUUCUGAAUCUCCAUGCUAGCCUGUUUUUGCAUAUUUGAGUUGUCAUUGCUUGUGGUUUGAAUGUGCAUGAUAAUGCUCUGUUCUGCAUUAAUGGUAUUGUCAGUAACACAAAUACUUUUUAUGUCACUGAGACGUGGCAUUAGAGAAUCAUCCAACUCAAACUGUGAUUGUUGUGACCCUUCCAUGGGAACAAUAGAUUGAAUAGGGGUAGGAAAUAUGAAUUGAUCCUCUUCAUCAUUGUCAUCUUGAUCUGUAAAAUCAUGUUGUCUUUCAAAAACAAACGGCCUUAUUUUUUUGGGUUUGCUAAAUACAAAUGAUGGUUGAGGUAUUUGUAGUUAAUAAAAAGCAAAUUAUACUAAUAACAACAAAAGUAAUUAGUUUAGAUAAGUAGAAAACCAUACACUUGGGAUUAUUGAUUUAGACGAACUAAAACCAGCAUCUACACUGAUCAAAUUACGCACAGGAGAAUUGUCACAAUGAACCUUUAAAAAUAUAAAAAUGUUAAUUAUAAACAAUAAUAAAAAUAUUCCCAACUGCACUAUAUAAAUAUGUAGAGUUAACCAACAUACUUGUUUAUCAGCACCCCCAACAAUAUCGGGUUUGUCUCCCACAUUUGAAUUUUCAAAAAUUGAAUGAUCCUUGAAAAAGAGGAUAUUAAAUAAAAAAAAUAUCGAUAAACCACAUAAAAAUACAAAAUUUAUAAUGAACAUACUUGCAAAAAUUUCUUGUUGUCAUCAUUUGAGCUUUCAUCACACUCCAUCUUCUCAUCAUCAAAAAGUUCAUUCAAUCCAUGUAGAUAUUUGAUACAAAAGUAGUCAACAUAUAUAUAAAAAAUAUUUAUAAUGAAAUACAGUAUUAACGACAUAUAAAAUACAAAUCAAUAUUAAACAUAAACGUAGUAAGAAAAACAGAAUACAAAAAUAAUAAUCUUUAUUUUCAAAAUAAGAUGUCUCUACCUGAUUUUGAUUUUCUGAUAAAACAUGACUUGUAAAAUGUUGUCGUCCUUAAGCAGCAUUGUGAUUGUUUAUGUUGUUCUGAAAAUAUAUUGGAUUUAAAAAAAUCAACAUAUAUUUAAUCACUAUGGAUAAAGAAAUAAAGUACUAACAAAUAUAGAAAAAAACUAACGUUAGACAUAAAUAUAUUACAACAUACAGAAUACAAAUAGAAUAAAUUAUUAUUUUCAAAAUGAGUUGUGUCUACCUGAUUUUGAUUUUCUGAUAAAAUUGGACUUGUAAAAGGUUGUGAUCCUUGACCAGCAAUGUCAUUAUUUUUUUUGUCCUGAAAAUAUUAAAUUACAACAUAGAAUUCAAAAAAAAUAAAAAGAAUAAAAAUAAUUUUAAACAUAACAAUUGAGCAUAUUGUUUCACCUUCAAAGUAGACAUAAUGAUAUUAAAAUUCUCAUUUAUCAACUUUCGUAUGUCUUUGAACUCUUCUCUAACCUGAAACAGUUACGAUAUGAGUAAAUUUUACAGAUUGCAAUAAUUUGAAUAAAUAUAUUAAAAAAAACAUAAGUAUAAACAGUAUAUACCUCCUUUCGUAACUCAGAGAGUUAUUUCCUCAUUAAUUGUUCAUGAGACACACUUACAGAUGGUAUUUGAGAAUCCUUUGUUCGCACAUAAGUGGGAGUGGUUGUCUUCUUAGAACAAUUUUUGUUUCUUCCGCACAACUUUUUUAAUCACAGCUUUUUUCACAUUCCGUUUCGCUAUUGGAUCGAUCUGUUCAUUCCUUUCCAUUUGAUCUGUGAUAUUUGAGUCCUUUUUUCGUACCCUUUUAGCAGGUGAUACUGAUUGCCCCUUUUUUCUUUUACCUGUAACCUUCAUUGAAGGUGGAGGUGGGUUGACAAAAUCAUCAUCUGAAUUCUGUCUAGAAAGUGCUUGUUCAUCAAUAUCACGAUGUGGCUCUGUUUGAACACCUUCAGUUGAUUUUUCUACACCUUCAGGAGGCAGUGUAGAACAACAAUUUCCAUCAGAGAAUGGACAACAUUCUUCCAUUUAAUCUGAAAACGAUAGUAAAACAAAAUAAUUAACAUAAUAAAAGAUAUACAUCAAAUUAAUAAAAUUACGAGGGUACAAUUUCUUGAAUUAUAUCUAUUACCAUCAUUGAAUGUGUCCUUCAUCAACAUUUCGAAUCGGGGUUUUGCUCCUACUGUUUGCUAGUUUAGAAUAAAGGGGAUACGAUCACUGAUUUUCAGUGCAAAAUUCGUCUGACGCUUACCCAUGCACUCGUAUAUCCAUAUUUGAAGGACAACAGGCAUACCGCAUAUUCUAUAAUAUUGAUCAUCUGUAGUCAAAACCUUGUUGAUACUCUGUAGCAACCACUAAAAUGUUUUUCUGCCCCAAGGAUAAUGCAUAUACUGAUAACGUUCAACCAAAUCAAAGUGAAUUCUAGGAAUUCGCAAUGAUCUCUUCUCGCCAGAAUACACAAACAUAUGAAUGAAAUAUAAUAUUGCAAACUUAAUUGCAUCAUCAUCAUUGCCAAUCCAAACUUUACCAUUGAACCUAUCAAACAAAUCAAAUCUAUGUAUGAUCUCAUUACCACAAUGUACUGAACAAUAAGUCGGUUAGGUUCUUCUGUGUUAAACUUGAAAUUCUCUACAAAACCAACACAGUUUAAUCCAGUAAUAGAUCCAUUUACUUAGAUUAAAAGAGACUUAUUACUACUAGCUUCUACUUCUAGUGAUAUACAACACAUGUGAAUUUGACCUUGCUCAACACAUUCUCUGAUUUUCAUAUACUGAUCAAAACACGUACUCUCACAAAAAUGUUUAUACUGCUCCGGUGUAAGCUUGUCAGUCAACUUGGAUUUAAUGUCAUGAUUUACUAUAAAGUGAAUGUGGGGUGCAUUUUUUGGUAGCUUUUUGCAAGCAUAAGAAGUCCCCUGGCAUAUUGAAUUCAAAAAAAUAAAAUAAUACUAAAAUAAUACAACGAAAAAAAUGAUAAUAAAUAAAAAAUCAACACAGUUACAACAACAUACAAAAAAAACACAUAUCGUUACAAAUAUGUGGUACAUUGACAUAACUAACACAAAAAAAUAGAACACAAAAUAAAUUUAUGGAUAUGUACUAAUAUAAUACAGAAUACAAUAUACAAUUCCAAAUCUAUGGUACAAUAAAACUAUGAACUACAAAAAUACAUACUUGACAAAAACAUCAACAAAAUUCAAUAUACAUUUCCAAAUAUAUGAAUACAAAAAACAUAAAACUCUAAAACACAAAAAUAAAUAAUAUCAACAAUAUAAUAAAAAUUCCAUAUACACUUACAAAUCUAUUCAAUAAUAGUAAAUACACAAUCAAACUUAUAAAAUGUGUUACAUUGACAAAAAGAAACAGAACACAAAAUACAAUAAAUAUAUUAAAUCUAAAAUGAAUUUAUGGACAUAGACUGACAUAAUACAGAAUACAAUAUACAAUUUCAAAUAUAUGGAUACAAAAAUACGAAAUAAAAAAAAUACAUACUUGACUAAAACAUCAACAAAAUUCAAUAUACACUUCCAAAUAUAUGAAUACAAAAACCAUUAAUACUAUAAAACAUAAUAAUAAAUAAUAACUACAACAUAAUAAAAAUUCCAUAUACACUUACAAAUCUAUUCGAUAAUAGUAAAUACACAAUCAAAAUUAUAAAAUUCGUUACAUUGACAAAAAAACAGAACACAAAAUACAAUAAACAUAUUAAAUACAAAAAUACAUGAUAACUAUAACAGUGAAUACAAAAAACAUUAGAAAUAUGAAAAAAUACAAAAAAUAAUAAUAACUUUAACAAGAUGAAAAUUCCAAAUAUACUUACAAAUGUAUACAAUAAUAGUAAAUAGACAAUCAAACUUAUAAAGUGUAUUACAUUGACAACUAACACAAAAAAAAUAAAGAACAGAAUACAAAAUACAAUAUAUAUAUAUGACAUUUAAAAAAUUUCCCAAUUCAAAAAUAUAUAGAAACUAUAACAGACUAAACAUUCCAUAUACACUUCCAAACUCAUUGUAACAUGUAUUUUUGUGAAUCUUAAAAAUUACUAAACAAAUUAAACUAAACAUGCAAUACACAGCACAUACCAAAAAAAAUUACCUCUUCUCCAAAAAAUUGGUCUUCUUCAACUUCAUGGUUAUGAAUUUCUGUGGGAUUUUGCACCUCGACAGGUUCAGUCAUUUUUUCCCCUCGUAUAACCUCCUUAGACUUAGAAGCUAAACCUACAUUGUUGUUUAUUUCUUGAGUGAAAAAAAAAUUAAACGAUGAAAAUUCGGAAGAACUUUAAUUUUUUUGUACGAUACCUUUAGUAACUCUCUUGAAGGCAUCCAUUGAAGAGAGAAUUUUGUAUUAUGAAACCCUAAAAAAUGAUUUAACAACAACAACAAAACAAAAAAAUUAAAAAAAAAACACUAAAAUCAGUAAGUAAAUCAAUAAGGAAUAUGAAGAACAUAAUAUCCAACUCAAUGUGAAUCUCCAAAUCAAACCUUCAAAUGAAGUUACUUGAAAAUGAUAUAAAAUAGGAAAAUUUGAGAAUAUGUGAAUAAAUUAAUUUUGAACAAGGUUAGAGCGAGAAAUUUAAAUUCAAGCGUAAAUCUGAAAAGUUGAGGAUAUGUGAAGAAAUUGAUUUUGAAGAAGGUGUGCCUAUUGAAGAAGGUCAGAGAGAGAACGUGAAAUUCCAAACAAAAAUCAGGGAAGAUGAUGAGUUGAAUAUUAACAAAGAUAAUAGGAAAAUUCGGGAAUCUAUGAAGAAUUAAUAUUGGAAAAUGUUAGAGAGAGUGAAAAUCUUUUAUUAAGAAAAGUGAAAAUAAAUCUUGGAAGUUGUGGAAUUGCCUAUUGAAGAGGGUUAGAGAGAGAAAGUGAAAAUCCAACCGAAAUUCGGGGAAGAGAGUGUUAGAGAGAGAACGUGAAAAUCCAAACGAAAAUCGGAGAAGAUGAUGAGUUUAAUAUUAACAAAGAUAAUAGAAAAAUUCGGGAAUCUAUGCAGAAUUAAUUUUGAAAAAGGUUAGAGAAAUAGUGAAAAUCUUUUAUUAAGAAAAGUGAAAAUAAAUCUUAGAAGUUGUGGAAUUGAUUAGUAAUAAAUAUAUAGAUAGAACUUUAUAAUAAUCUUAAUAAAAGAGAGAGAAAGUUUAAAAUAUCAUUAUUAUAUAUCUUAUUACAUAAAUAUAGGAAAAUAUGUAAUUUAUGAGAGAGAGAAAAAGAGUGUAAAUAAUGAGAGAGAAAAUAUUAAUAAUAUAAGAAUAAUUAUUUAUUUUUAAAAUAAUGACAUUUUGACAUGUUUACUAAUAUUAUUAAAGUAUGAAUAUUAUCACUAAAUAAGUUGAUUUUUUUGACUAGUUAGCUAAAUUUUCCUAUAAUUUAUUUACGUUAGUUUUCUAUCAACCAAAUAAUUGGCCCAAAUCCACGGCCCGUUCCUUUAUUUUAGUUUUAUAUUAACCUCAGUUUUCGUUUGUGCUAUAUUUGCUUAAAAUGACGAAAGUUUCUGCUCGCAUUUAAGCCUUACUUAUUUGUCUUUCUUAGUGCUUUGGUUGUUUAAGACACUAUUGUUCUCAGUGAUAAUUACUGCUAUAAGGAACUGUACAUUUUUAAGCAUCGGGCAGUGAAAGUUAUUUCUAAGUUAAGUUUUUCUUGGUCAUCCUAAGUUAAGUUGAAUUCCUGCUUACUUGGUGUAUAUAUUGCCUUGCCAUUGAAGUACGUGCUUCAAUCAAACAAUUUUGGAACAGGUUGUGCCAUCACAUAUAAAAUCUAUCGUUCCAUAGAUUUCACAAUCUCAAAAGAACUGAUGUUGUUCUUUAACAUACGGAGUGUCUUGAUACCCGUUGAACAAUAUCUAUAAUAAGACACUGAAUCAACUUCAAAUCUUAAAGCCAUAGCCUGAUGCUUUACGGUUACAACAUUAUUCUUAAAAGUAAAGUCUUGCACUAUGAAGCAUUGCAAAGAACCCCUGCAUAUUGAAUAAGAAGAAACAAUCAUAAUUCAACUAAAAUAAUAAAAGUGUAUAUAGAGAGAGGGACUUACCAACAAUUGUGGUGUCAUAGGUUUUGUUGUCAUUAACAAAACAUCUAUUACCCGUUAUAAUCGUAAUAUCCAUCCCUUCUCCAAUCAAAAAUAUAUUAGUCUUCUUUUUAUCAACUCUAAUAUAUUCCUCAUAUGUGUCUUUCUUAAUUUUUAUAAAGAAUGGCUUGACACUGGGAUCAGGAGCCAUAAAUAUCGCUUCAACAAUUGUAUUGAAAUUUCCAAUUCCAUGUUUAGAUACAAUUGCUGUCACGAUACAAAAAUGGGUGUGAUGACACUCGUCUUAUCCCACCUAGACAAGUCACCCUAAAACUUAAUUAUUACAAUAAAAUGCGAAUAAUUUACUAUAAACUUAAAUUAUACCCCCAAAACCUGCUUGUCACAUUCACAAGCCUGUUACAACUGAAUCACAAGAAAAUACAAGUCUCAUAGAGUAGAACAAGAUCAUAAACAAGAGUAAGAGGUCUGCUGAGAUGACAAAAGCUACCUUACAAAUCUCCAAAAAGCCUCGAAAAGAAGGUAAUAUAUCACAAAUGUCCGGGCUAGUAACCUACAAAAAAAAUAGUAGAAGCAAGGGGUGAGUACCAAACCACACGGUACUCAGCAAGUAAACCUCUAAACACAAGCUAAGGGGAUGAAAUACGGGUACUCCUACCACCCAAUUGAACCUCCACUACUACCACCUACAUAAAAAUCAGUCCACCCUAACAGCUCACAAUUUACAUAGCACAUAGCUCAACAACAACACUUAGACAAAUUACAUAUCCUCAACAAACAAUACUUUUACAAAUUACAUAUCCUCUACAACAACACUUUGAAACAUUAUAUAUCCUCAACAACAACACUUUGAAAAAUUAUAUAUCCUCAACAACAAAACUUUAACAAAUUACAUAUCCUCAAUAAAAAGCUCAGUAAUUAUCAAUCACAAGUUCCACAGAAAGGCAUUCACAAGAUCAGCAAAACACAAUAUCAAGUUCAAUUAUGAUAAGUAUAUUCAAUGCAAUGGAAUGCAAUAUCAAGUAUAAUAAUGCAUGUCUGACCUAGUAAUAUACAGACGUUGUCUCUCAGUCCGAUACCCAUGGGGGACAUAUCUGUCCAUGCAUCUACCGCGGCACGCCAUACGACCCUCGAUAAUAGUAACCAUCACCGCAUGUGAUACAUCCCUUCAAAUAUAAUAUCUAUCACGGCGUAUGAUACGUCCUCGAAACGGUACAUUCUUUUUUAUUUCUCAUCUUUCUCAAUGCACAUAACAAUUGUUACAACCAUGUAUCAAAACAAUGCAAAUGAUAUGUUCACAAAAAUAAUGAGAAGAUGACAUUUUUCAUAACAUUGCACGAUUCAUAACAAAAUCAACAAUAAUUCAGCAAGUCUUUCAAAUCAUUUUUCAUUAUCAACACAACACACACAAGCAAUUAAUCACAUUGUCUUUUUAAUACCCCUUUUUUCAUCAUUAGAAUAAAUAAGUGUGGACAAGUCAACCCAUCACCAAGUCUCAUUACUCCUUAACAUAUACCACAAGGAAAUACACGCAUUCCACUUAACAAGAGUUUAGAAAUUGACUUGCCUCAAAUAGUCGAACAAUCACUCCGGAACUUGAGUCUUCCUCUUUUCGUUGGACUUCCAACUCAAAGCAAUCUAUUCACAUUAUUAAUCACAAUAAGAUUUCGAAUAACAUGUCAACCCUCAUAUUUUUAAAUUUUAAGUCUAGGGUUAAGUUUCCAUUCUCCAAUACCAUAAAUCUAAAGAUAUUCCUAUAAUAGAAAGCCCUUAAUAUUUAUCUCAUCUUAACAAAAUUUGAAUUAUAACUUGAUAACUAUAAGAAAAUUGUGAAAUCAAAUCAAACCCAUAAUUAUUGUGCAUACUUAUGGAACACCGUAUAAAAUAUUAUUAGACCAAAAUCUCAAUAUUAAUUCAUUCCGCAAUUCUAAUUAACUCCUAAUUGGCAAUUAUUGACUUGGACUAGUGCGCUUUUGCAAUCAAUAAUUCUACAGGUGUCGGAAGUUUGAAUAGAAAAUAUCCUUAUCAUUGAUUCAAAAACUUGUGAAUAUCUUAUUUCACAGAUAGGCAUAUAAAGCUUUAAUUUUUUUCAAGGAGAUCACAUUAUUCACUAUGUGCAAUCACAACAACUCCUUAAAUAUAUAUAUAUAUAUAUAUAUAUAAACUGAAACUAUUUAUGUCUGCAACAAAAGCAAAUUAACACCUUAACCUACUUGUUAAAAUCCUACAACUAUAUUCCAUCACCCUCAAUUAUUAACCAAUCAUUACUUCUCUAAGUCCAACAAUUUCCAUCUUCACUUUACUGAAGAAUACAUCAUAUUUCCCUCUAAUUCGAUCUAAAACCAUACCAACCGACAUUAACAUGUCAAAUUUAAACUUAAUCCAACUUUAUUUUAUAAAAAAAAAAAUGAGUGACAUUAUAUAUGAAUAUACAGACAGUAAUAAGAUAAAUGUAUACAUGCACAAAUCGGGAGGUUUUGGUUAUUAGGAGGUCGUCUUCCUCUUUCCAACAUUAAAGCAACAAUAAUAAUUAUAAUUGCACAUUAAUACUCAAUCGCUUUAAUAUGAAUUUGAAAAUAUUACCUGAUUUAAAUAUAUGUUUCCUCUUUAUCGAUGUAAUGUUGCCUCUCUUUCCUUUCGUUGCACUGCAUAAAAAAAUAAAAAAAUAAAAAAAAUAAAAAUAAAAAAUAAAAAAAAAAUAUAUAUAUAUAUAUAUAUAUAUAUAUAAUUUUUUUGCUACUUGAGUGACUGCUGCUGCUAACAACAGCAGCUUUCAAUCUUUUUUUUUUUUCAAUUGGGCGAAGCCCUUUUCUUUUUGUUAUUCGUUUUUUUAAAAAAAAAAAAAUCUUUUUUCUUAAAAAUUCUUUUUAUGCUUAGUCUACUUAUUUUCCUUUUUAUUAUUUAAUAAAACUUAAAUAACUCAUAACUUAUUUAUAAAAAUUACUAAAAGUAUUAAACAUACUAAAAUGGAUAAAAUUCAUAAAACAACUAAGAGGAUCGUUACAAUCGCAUUAUAAGGAGCUUCCGUUUGGCUUUGAACACAUAAAAUUAUUGUUGUAACGACAAACAACGUCAUGAUAUUUUCUGUAUUUAAAAAAUUAAAAAUUUGAUGAGUUAAUGGACAAAAAUUACAAGUAAAAUCUAGCGAUAUGGAAGAAAAAUACCACAAAAAACUAUCUAUGAUGGCCAUUGCAAAGAUGAUGAUUAGAAAAGAAGUGAAAUUCAGUGAGGAAAAGUUUUUCUUUCUUAAUAGUGUAGUAUUGACAAAGCUUAACAAAAUCUUCCUCCUUUAUUGUAGAAAACAUAUACUUUUUCUUGCAUGUUUGUGUUGUAAAAUGUCAUUUUUAAAAGCUCUUUUUUUGACAACUAAAUGUCAUCUUCGCUGAAUUGAAUUUUUCUACCAUUUUAACAAUUACUUACCUAGGUAAUAUGUAGUUGUAGUAACAUUUUAAUUCUUAGCUUCGUUGUGGUAUUGUUUUCUUCUUUUUAUCUUUUCUUAUUUUCUACCAUUUGUACAACUAUUUACCUAGGUAAUAUUUAAUUGUAGUAACACUUUAAUUCUAAACUUAGUUAUGGUGUUGCUUCCUUCUUAUUACCUUUUCUUAUUUUGAGGGAAUUAACUUGUGACUUUUGAGACAUUUUACUUUGACAAAAUACAAUUUUGUGCUUUCUUUAUUUUAUUUUAAAAGAUGUUUUAACUUUUGCAAUAUUCUCCAAAAUAAAUGAUUUUUCAAGAUAUCAAGAUGAUAGUAUUUUUUAUUUUUUUCUUCAAAGUUAAUUUUUACCUAAAAUGCAAAAGAUAUUCUUAAAGAACUAGAUGAAGUAGGGAAAAUGGGAAGGAAUUAGAUGUUAUAAAUGACAAUGUUAAAGCGUAAAUUAAAGUAAUAAUCUUUCCUUUUGUUUUGGCCUUCGAUGUAUUCUCUUGUAAUCAUUUCGUAUUUAAAUUUUUAUAUUUUGAAUAUCUUGACAAAAAAUUUUCUCUCCAUCACUGACGAGGACUGCUCGAUGCGCAAAAAAGUCAUUUAAACAUUAGUUAGUUGAUCACGGAUAAAAAAAUCUUUUUAGUACAAUUUUGUAAAUUUUCUCCUUUCUUAGCCGAGUUGCUUAGAUGUUAAGCAUCGUAUAUUGGGUAUGUAGCAAGAAUUGAUGGGAAAUAGAGGGAAAGAGAAGAACUUGAAAAGUUGAGAACUUGAAGAGUUGGGAACUUGAAAGUCCUCUUAUGCUUUAAUGAAAAUGCAUUUGUCCCUCAUCGGUGAUGGAAAGAAAAAUAGUAGAGUUUAAAUAUUGAAACAUUCCUAUUAAUUGUUAAAAGGUUGGAAAGAGGGAUCCCCCUCGCGCCGUCGUCGUCAUCGCUCAUUUCAAUUUCGGCAAAUGAUCGAUCAAGAGAUUAUUUAUUGGACAAACUCUAUUUUAAUUAUUUAAUUAAGUAUUUAUUUAACUAAUUAAGUAAAUGUCAAAAAUGUUUUCAAUUAGUUAGUUGAUAACAGAAAUGUUUUCAGCUAUUUAGUUGAAAUUAACUGAAACGUUUCAACUUUUUAGUUGACUAACCCGACCCGACUCAGAUCUCCACUCGACCUGUUUGAUUUAAAAACCAUUCCCGCUUUGAUUAAAUUUUCCACCAUUUUUGAAAGUGACUGUUUUGAAAGUUUGCAACUUUCAGGAACAGCCAGUACCAUUUAAAAGGUUGCAAACUUUCAUUAUGGUCGUGUGGUUUCUGAAAGGAUUGCAACCUUUCGGAACCUGUUCUUCUUGCCUAUAAAUAUCAUUCACUCUUCAAAAAUUUCCUUACGAGUUUUUUUGAUCUCUUCUUUUUCUUGUGCACAAUAAAUUACUUCACAUAUAUUUUACUAUUGUUGACUGGUUCACUGACACCAGAACUUUUGGUAUCUAUACAAUGGUGAUUGAAAGCAUUUUACCCUGGAAGGUCAUAUUCCAAAUCAAACCUCGGAUACUAGAGGGGAAUAAUUUCCUUAAGGGGACACUGUGAGUUCAGUGGACUUGAUCUUUUUCCUUUUAAAAAUUUUACAGAUUCAUGUACGUAUUUUACAGAUUUUAGUUUUUGUAAAUUAAAUUUUUGUUCUUCUUUCUUACUGAUUUAGUAAAUAUUGGUUAUUUUGUGUUUCUGUGAAAUUUAUCAAAAUUAGUAAUUCUGAUUUUUUUCUAACACAGAUUGGCUACAAUCUUAACGAAAUUAUUCAUUAUUAUUAAUUUGUAUUUUUGGUGGAGACAAGAAUCUUCGUGAUUUUAUAUUCCUUGAAGUCUGCAAUUAUAAUCUAUUGCUUACUAGACUGUAUUGACUUUUGUUUAUCAGAAAUGGAAAACAACGGUGUUACAGUGACUGUUGUUGCACCAAUCCGAACUGUUGUACCACAAGCAGAGAAACCGGGUAAAUUCACUGGUGUGAAUUUCAAAUGAUGACAGCAACGACUAUUUUUCUAGCUUCCCACUCUUGCUCUGCAGAAAUUUACUAGUGAAGAAACUCCAGUGCCUGCUGAUGAUAUGCCAAACAAAGAAAAAUUCAUGAUUAUUGAAGCAUGGAAACAGGCAGACUUCCUAUGUAAAGGCUACAUUUUGAGUGCUUUAGAGGAUGACUUAUAUAAUGUCUAUAAUGCAAUAACAACUUCAAAAGAGUUGUGGGAUGCACUUGAGAAGAAAUAUAAGACAGAAGAUGCAUGCUUGAAAAAGUUUGUGGUCGCAAAAUUUUUACACUAUAAAAUGGUAGAUAGUAAAACUGUUGGAUCACAAGUGCAGGAAUUUCUACUUAUUCUCUUUGAUCUGAUUACUGAAGAUAUGGUAGUAAAUAAGCUUUUCAAGUGGCUACAAUGAUCAAGAAGUUGCCUCCUUUGUGAAACGAUUUCAAGAAUUAUCUAAAGCACAAACGUAAUGAAAUGAAGCUUAAAGAUCUUGUGAUUCAGCUCAAGAUUGAGGAAGAUAACAAAAACGCAUUGAAAAAAAGUUUCAUAACAGCUCAACAAUCAUUGGAGUUAAUAUUGUUGAAGAAGUUCCUACCAAAGACAAAAAGAGAAAGAAGUUUAACGGGCAGAAGUCAGAACAAGCCAAGAAGAAAUUCAAAGGCAAAUAUUACAACUGUGGCAAGGCUGGUCAUAGGUCUUCUGAUUGUAGUGCUCCAAGAAAGGACAAAGACAAAGGUAAAGGCGAAAGCCAAGCAAACAUUGUGGGAAAGGUGGAAGAUGCAGAUGACUUCUGUGCAAUGAUCUCGGAGUGUAACUUAGUUGGAAAUCCCAACGAGUGGUUACUCAGGUGUCACUCGACAUAUUUGCUCUGCGAAAGAAUUCUUUGCAACAUACUCUCGUGCUAAGUACGAUGAAAAUUUAUUCAUGGGAAACACAGCAACAUCAAGGAUUGCAAGAACUGGGAAAGUAAUGCUGAAAAUGACAUUCGGCAAGGUGUUGACUUUAAACAGUGUCCUGCAUAUCCCUACUAUUAGGAAGAAUUUAGUUUCUUCUGCACUACUCGUUAAGAACGAGUUUAAGUGUGUCCUAGUUAGUAAUAAAGUUGUAAUAACUAAGAAUGAAAUGUUCAUAGGAAAGGGCUACCUCAAUGAGGGUCUUUUCUAACCGAAUGUAAUGGUUGUUGACAAUAUUAAUAAGAAUUCUGCUUUUGUUUACUUAUUGGAGUCAAAUGAUUUAUGGCAUGCCCGUUUGGAACAUGUAAAUUACUAAGCCUUGCAAAAAUUGAUUACUCUAGAAGUAUUGCCUGAUUUUAAAUGCAAUAAAUCGAAAUGCAAAAUUUGUGUGGAAAGUAGGCUUGUUAAACAUUCUUAUAAGUCUGUUGAAAGAAGUUCCAAACCUUUAUAAUUAAUUCACACAAAUAUAUGCAAUAUGAAGUUGACACCAUCUCGUGAUGGAAAAAAGUAUUUUAUAACUUUUAUUGACAAUUGUACUCGAUUUUGUUAUGCAUAUUUGCUUAAUAGUAAGGAUAAAGUAAUUGAUGCAUUUGAGCAAUAAAAAAAUGAAGUACAAAACCAAUUGAAUUUAAAGAUAAAAAUGAUUCUGAGUGUUAGGGGUGGAGAAUAUGAAUCUCCUUUUGCAGAGAUAUGUUUGGAAUAUAGUAUUAUUCAUCAAACUACUGCACCUUAUACACCACAGUCAAAUGGUUUGUCGGAACGAAAAAAUAGAAUAUUAAAGAAAAUUAUGAAUGCCUUGAUGAUCAAUUCUGGUUCACCACGAAACCCUUGGGGGGAAGCUAUCCUUACGACUAAUAAGAUACUCAAUAGGGUACUCCAUGAAAAAACACAAUCAAUUCCAUUUGAGAUGUGGAAAGGAAGGAAACCCAACUUCAAAUAUUUCAAUGUGUGGGGGUGUUUAGCCAAGGUAGAGGUUCCUUUACCUAAGAGGGUUAAAAUUGCACCCAAAACAAUACACUUUGUAUUUAUUGAAGAUGCUGUGAAUAGUAAGUUCUGUCGAUUUUUGGUUCACCAAUCUAAUAAUCAUGAUAUUCAUGUUAAUACGAUAAUUGAGUCAGAUAACGCAAAGUUUUUUUAAAAUAUUUAUGUAACAACCCUAAAUAUGGAUAAGAUAAGAAAUGUUUAAUAUGUCAAGAAUGCCUAUGAUUAGACCAGGGUUCACACGGAUUGAUGUGCAUAGAACCAGACCUCCGAAUCCUUGCUACAAUAAAGAAAACCUACUUGGGGAGUUAGUUGAGCUUGGAAAGGUUGAGUCAAACCAUGUAGGGCUCUCGAAUACGAAGAUUUACUUGAAGGAGUCUUUACCGGACUUAAAAAGGGAAAAUCUUAGGUUUGGAGGGUCUAGGGGUAAAAUGGUCUUUUUCCAGGAUAAGUAAUUAUCCUAAAUAUAUAAUUAAUUAUUUAAUUAAUAAGAUGGAGGGGUAUUUUGGGGAGAGAGGGACGAAAUUGGGCUCUUGAAGUGAAGUCUUGCUCCACCCCGGUUCUAACCUAGGUGGAAGCAAUGAAUUAAAGUGCUUUUUUUAAGCUACUGAAUUAAUGUAAUUAAUUAAUAAUUAUUAUUCAUUAGCUUAUUUAAAAUAAAAUAAAAUUCAAGUUUUUAUUAAAUAAACAAAACCUUAUUGACUAAGUCCUAAAACUAAACUCCUAAGCCUCCUACAACUCCCACUCUUUCACGUUUAUAUCUCCACUCUCACGCUCAAUCUCUCCUAUUCUUUCUCACGUAUUUUCUCUCCCAAAAUAAGAUACAAAAACAUAAAAACUAAACCAAGUUAUUCACACUUGAAUAACUCACACGAAAUCAUGAGAAAAUAAACGUUAAUCGCACACUAGGCUAAGGGAGGUUGUCAUUCGGGUGGAGUUGAUAUUGAGGAGUCUUAGACGUGUUCUUGGGGUAAGUUUUUGGGCAUCAAGUCAAGAUUUUAACGUCAAAAAUAUAUGGGUUCUCUUCUCUCUUGUUCCUUUCCCAGGAGACCCCUUAAGGUUCAGAAUAUUCAUUCUGAAAGCUAGGAUUGUUCCCCGUUGCAUGUCCUUGUCACUAGAUCCCAUUGAAUCAUAAGUUGGUUAUGUUUGCUGGUAGAAAACUAGGGAUGAAACGUGUUUUCGUUAUGAUUAUGUGUUUAUAUGUAUGUUUGGAAUUCUGUGACUUAUGUUGAUGUUUCCAAAAAUGUAACUAUGUGUGUAUGUGUGUGUUAUCGUGGCUAUUGUUCAUGGUUUAGGACUUGAAAUGGCAUGAUAGUUCUUUAUAUUUCACGUACAUAUUUGAUGUAAAUGUAAUGUUCAUAUGAGUUGAAAUAUGACUGAUUUGAGGGAUACUGUCCUGGCUAAACGAAUACAUGAACACCCACCUAAAAUAUUCGAAAUGCACUACGAAAUUCCCCUAAGAACUAAAGUGUAACUUGAUGAAAGGAUGCUGAAAAAUUAAAAGAAAAUUUCCAGCUUUUAGUGAUGAAUUUUAGUCAGCAACGAGGGAUCAAAAUGUUGGAAAAAAUGAAUUAAAAUAAGUGAGGUCAUGGAGGAUUGAACCCGUGACCUCACCAUAUUAAAAACCAUGAAAAUAAAGAAGUAAAAAGAAAUGUGGUGAAGGAAAUUCGGACCAUGGUAUUGGCUAGAAAAUGUAAUUUAAAAGAAAAAAUAAGAAAUGAGAGGAGUGGAAUUCGAACCCACCACCUCUCAAUUAGAUUUAAGGAAGAGUAAAAGAAAAAAAAUGUGAGGCGUGGGAAUCAAACUCACGACCUCUAGGCAGUAAAGGAGAGUAGAGAAAAUGAAUGAAAAAAAAUGUGAGACGUGGGAAUCAAACUCACGACCUCUAGGCAGUGAAGGAGAGUCAAAAGAAAUGAAAGAAAAGAGAUGUGAGGCAUGGGAAUCGAACCCAAGACCUCCUAGGAAGAUUUAAGGAGAAAAAUUAAAAGAAAUUAAAGUAGGGGUUGUGAGGGUUCGACCCUCACAACCCCUCGUCCAAAGGAGAGAAAUUUUAAGGCAAUGAAAAUAAAAAGUAAAUGAGGUUGUGGGGGUUUGAUCCCACAUCCUCUUAGUUCCAUUAAGCGAAAAAUGAAGAGAAAAAUUAAGGAAAAAUUAAAAUGAAGGCAUUGGGUCUCAAACAUGGGUCCCCAAGCCGUAUGGAUCAAACUAAAAUGAAUAAAAAAAUAUAAGUGUUGUUCAACGGAUUUAAAAAUUGGGUUUCCUUGCCUAAAUUUCGUAUUGAUACAUAAGUCAUACGUGAAUUAAAUGUUCAAAAAUAAUGCUGCCUACUUAGAUCGAAAUUGAGAUCUUGGCAUACAUACACGAUACAUAAGUCUUGUACCACAUAAUCUUAGGAAGAUAUGAAUAACUUAAACGAACUAUGAAUGAAGCCUCAUGGCUUGUAUGUAUAUAUCCAUAAGUCUAACAUACGUUGAAAAAAAAGUGAACCUAAGAUGUAUGUAAUGAAAUGAUGUAACCUUAGAAGGAUUAAGUAAGAGUGUAAAACACCCUAAUAAGUUCAUUGGCAUAUAAUGAAACGAAUUUUUAUGUAAUGAAAAGAUGAAACCCUAGAAGGGUUAAGUAAGAGUGUGAAAUACACAAAUGGCCAACUGCAUUGGCAUAUGAUGAAUUGAACAUUCACGUAAAAAGGAGUGAAAAAUUAUGAAGAACAAAUGUGCUAAUGUUAAUGAAUGUGGUGACAACAUGAUAUGAGGCUAAUGUAAAAGAUGAGAGCAAUCUAAAAUAAGUUUAAGUAAAUAUUACCAAAAUGUACUCAUCUAUAAGAGUGUAAAGUUAAUGAAGAGACCAGUCUCUAUGAACACUCUAAUGAAAGUAUUGAGAUUAACACACUUAAUACUAAUGAUGAGAUAUGAAAUCAUCUAUUGAGCUAUGAUUUCCUCAUACUAGAAGCCAGUUUCCAUGACGUAUGAGUUGAAUGUAAUGGAACUUUAUAGCGAGCACUGAUAGACUAUCUAUGAGCGAUGAUGCCUUCAUUCUAGAAGGGCGGAGGUUCACGUAACUCUCAUGAGAUGAGACUGUCCGGCAUGCCGGGUAUGGGUCUCCUUAUAUCUCCUAGUCUUUAAACCUAUACUGCCAAUAUAGGGAUCUGGUGGGGUUCGAUUCCCAUGUAUGCUAGCAUUUUUUUGUCAUUUUGGCCGGUGAUUCCACCUCUUAUCGGUGUGGGGUUUCAUGACACUGGAUUUCAUGAUGCUCACAUGAUCUAUGUAGGUUAAAGUUAAAGUUCCCAAUCAAUGAAUGAGGUCAGUCUUAAAUGAUGCACAUAAUGAAACGAAUGAUACCAAAGGUGUUAGGAUAUGAUAAUCGAGAGGUGAGUUAGACUCAAGUUAUGAUAUUAGGUCAUUCUUGGUCAUCGAACAACGAACCCAAUGAAAGCCAUAAAUUACAUCCUAGGCAUAGCUGGUGUUUACAUUGGCACAUGAAUGAAAUGAAAUGAAGUACGUAGGAAUAAAUGAAACAGACUCUGUUUAUGCUAAAGCAGACUCCCUAGUUGAGGUCUCAUAUGUUGAGCCCUCAUUUUGGGAAGUCUUAAUGUCAAGUUCAUGAUUUCAAGGUCUCAUGGCAUAUGAAUAAAUCAUAUGAACAACCUUAUGUGUUAUAUGAAAUAUGAUAUGUGUUAUGUGUACACUGUUGUGUGCUGUGUGCAAAAUGUUAAGUAUGAUGGUGUAUGUUACUCUCAUGGCAUAACUUUCCUAAUCCAAAUUUGGAAAGUUCACUCACUUUCCUAAUCUCAAUUUGGCAAGUUACUCAUGCAUGUCCUUGGUGUGUGCUUGCAUAUACCCAUACUUAGAACAAGUGUGUACUAACCCUGUACAAUUCUAAACAUUUAGGUGCAGGCACAGAUGGAUGCUAGAGCUACAGGAUCAACGCUAUAGCUAUCUGGACGUUGAGUAUUCAUCUAGACUUGGUAGGCCCUUAUGCUUUUGAGGAUGCUUGCCCAUUUAUAUUCUAGCUUAGUUGUAGGAUUAAGCUAGUGGAGUAUGUUCCACUAGGUUUCUUUCCCAUUUUUGUUUAGACGUUGUAUUGGUGCCAUUUGGCAAGUACAUCUUUAUCGUUACAAUAAACUCCUUCUUUCAUUUGAUGAUCUUAAUGUUAUAUGGUUGAUGGUGAAUAAUUAUAUGCGUAAUAGAAUGUUUAGUAAGCAUGUUAGAAAAUAAAAAGUUUCAAAUUUUCCGCUAAAAUUAACCACGAUGAAGUAAGAAUGACGUAUGUAGGCUUGUCUGCAAUCUCUGAGAAGUCAACGACGCAGGUCUCGUCUGGGGUCUAGAUUUUGAUCGUGAAAAUUUAUCCGUAUAAAAUUGAAUGUGACUCAACAAGUAAAAGACCUAAGCAACCAUGAGAAGGAUCCACAGAAAAUACACUAACUAGUGAGGAUCUUAGGCGUAGUAUUCGCCAACGAAAACCUGCUUUUUUCGGACCAGAUUUUGUGGCAUUAUUGCUUGAAAAUGAGACUCAAAUAUUUAAACUAAUUAUGUCUUCAUCUGAGUCAACUUAUUGGAAAAGCAGUCAAUAGUGAGAUCUAAUCAAUUUUGAGUAAUCACACUUGGAAAUUAGCUGAACUUCCUCCACAAAAUAAACCUUUAGGAUCAAAGUGAAUCUUUAAAAGGAAAAUGAAACCUGAUGGGACUAAUGACAAAUAUAAGGCUAGACUGAUAGUCAAAGGGUACAUACAAAAGGAAGGUAUGCACUACUUUGACACAUACCCUCCAAUAACAAGGAUAACAUCAAUUAGGAUGUUAAUAGCACUAGCAGCAGUGCAUGAUCUUAAAAUUCACCAAACAGAUGUAAAGAUAGCCUUCUUAAAUGGAGAGUUGAAGGAAGAAAUUUACAUGGAACAACUUGAAGAUUUUAUAGUUCCUGGUAAAGAAAAGAAAGUGCGGAGACUUGUGAAGUCACUUUAUGGACUCAAACAAGCACCCAAACAAUGACAUGCUAAUUUUGACCAAACUAUGUUGGCAAAUGGAUUCAAGAUCAACGAAUGUAAUAGAUUUGUUUACAUUAAAAACAUAAUGAAUCAUGAGGUCAUAUGCUUGUUUCUAUGUUGAUGACAUGUUAAUAAUGAGUAAAGACAUUGACGAUAUAAAUGCUUCUAAGCGCAUGUUGUCCAACAAGUUCAAUAUGAAGGACUUAGAAGUUGUUGAUUUGAUAUUAGGGGUCAGGAUUAUCAAAACUCUUCAGGGACUAGAAUUAUCUCAAUCUCAUUAUACUGAAAAAUUAUUGGAUAAAUUCAAGUACUUGAAUUUCAAUAUUGUCAAAACUCUCAUUGAUUUAAGUUGUACAUUUCAAAAGAAUGAAGGUCAAAGUGACUCUCGAUUGGAAUAUGUCAGAGUAUUGGAAUGUUUGAUAUAUAUUAUGAAUUGUACACUAUAAGAUAUAGAAUGUGUUAUUAUCAAACUAAGUCGGUUCACUAGUAAUCCGAAUCAAACUCAUUGAAUGACAAUGAAAAUGUGUGUUGGAAUAUCUGAAUACACAACACUAUGAUUUGCAUUAUAAUAAAUAUCAUGUUGUGAUUGAAGGAUAUAGUGAUGCAAAUUGGAUCACCGGUCAAAUGAAGUAAAAUCCACAAGUGGUUAUGUGUUCAUACUUGGUGGAUGAGCAGCCUCUUGAAAAUCGUCCAAACAGUCAUGUAUUGCUCGCUCCACAAUGGAAUCUGAAUUCAUUGCUUUGGAUAAAGGUGGUGAAGAUAUUGAAUGGCUCCGAAAUUUCUUAGAGGAUAUUCCAUUUCGUCCCAAACCUGUUGCACCUAUUUGCAGACAUUGCAAUAGUCAAGCAAAAAUAGGUAGGGCAGGGACCGUCAUGUAUAAAAUGGGAAGUAUCGUCAUAUAUGACGGAGACAUAACACCGUAAGACAACUGUUCUGUUGUGCGGAAUUUGAGAUAAUACGAGAAAAUAUAAACACGAAAAACAAGACAACAGAUUUACGUGGUUCACCAAUAAAUUGGCUACGUCCACGGGAAGAGAGGGAGCAGUUUUAUUAUGGAGAGGCAAAAACAGAAUUACCGAAUAGGGUUUCCCAUAGUGUCUAUAUAUAUAGUGCUAAGCUACGCCCUAAAAGGCUUGGGCCCAACAUACAGAAUCAACAGAAAAUUAAGGGCCCAAUACAACAACAUUGUAUACCGUCGGGCCGGGGGCGUCUCCGCCCCCCCGGACCCCCAGGCCAGGGGGCGCGUCGCCCCACUGGACCCCCCGACUCGCUGACCGGGCAGCGAGACCCCCGUCCUUUCUGUUUGUAGCGGGUCCGAUUCAAGGCAUUCAACAAAUCUCCACCUUGACUUGAAUUCUCCGAACAGAUUCUUCAGACGCACUAUGAUAGUGUCAGGCCUCCCCCUCUUCCUCAGAGUUGCCCCGCAGGGCAAUUAACAGCUUCUGAUGUUGAGCAAGUCCAAACAGUGUUGAAACUUGCUCUGUGGAACCGGCUUUGUGAACAUAUCAGCAGGAUUAUCAGCAGUUCCUACUUUCUUCACCUUGAUUCUCUUCUCACUUCUCAGAAAAUGAUACCUUACGUCGAUAUGCUUGGUUCUCUCAUGAUGGACUUGAUCCUUGGCUAGACAAAUUGUGCUCAAACUGUCACAAUACACCGUAGCCUGAUCAUGAUGCAGACCAAGAUCACUAACCAGCCCUUUCAACCAAAUCCCUUCUUUUGCAGCCUCUGUCAAGGCCAUGUACUCCGCUUCCGUAGUAGACAAAGUCACUGUAGGUUGCAAAGUUGCCUUCCAACUGACGACAGAUCCUCCAAGGGUAAACACAUAGCCAGUCAUCGAUCUUCUUGUGUCAACAUCUCCAGCAUAGUCUGAAUCAGAAUAGCCAGUAACUAAGCACUGAGUAUCACCUCCAUAAAUGAGACCAAUGUCAGAUGUACCUCUAAGGUACCGGAAAAUUCUCUUCACAGCCUGCCAAUGUUCUCUCCCUGGUUGUCCCAUGAAUCUGCUCACUACACUGACUGCAUGUGCUAAAUCUGGCCUUGUACAGACCAUAGCAUACAUUAAACUUCCUACGGCACUGGCAUAGGGGACUCGUGACAUAUACUCCUUCUCUUCUUCUGACUGUGGAGCGAACAUGGCAGUGAGAUGGAUAUUGGCAGCACUGGGGGUAUCAAUGGGCUUAGAUGAAGACAUGCCAAACCUCGCCAAGACCUUCUGAAUGUAGCUUCUCUGUGACAAGAAAAGUUUCCUUCUCUCUCUGUCUCUAAUGAUCUCCAUCCCUAAAAUCUUCCGAGCGGCUCCCAGAUCCUUCAUCUCAAACUCAGCACUAAGUAAACCCUUCAGCUUCUGAAUGUCAUACUUCUUCUUUGCAGCUAUCAACAUAUUAUCUACAUAAAGCACCAGAUAGAUGAAUGAAUCAUCAUUGAGCCUAUUGUAGUAGACACAACAAUCAUAUGAGCUCCGAGUAUAGCCCAACUUCACCAUAUAGCUGUCAAACCUUUUAUACCACUGCCUUGGAGACUGCUUAAGUCUAUAUAAGGACUUCUUCAACUUGCAGACGUGAUUUUCCUUCCCUGGAACUUGGAAACCAUCCGGUUGAGUCAUGUAUAUCUCUUCCUCCAACUCUCCAUGUAGAAACGCUGUCUUCACAUCAAGUUGUUCAAGCUCCAGAUUCUGAUGUGCAACUAUCGCUAGUAACACUCGGAUGGAAGUAUGUCUGACCACUGGUGAGAAGAUCUCAUUGUAGUCCACUCCCUCUCUUUGGUUGAAACCUCUGGCAACAACCCUAGCUUUAUACUUGACUCCUUCUGCUGGUGAUAUCCCUUCCUUCUUCUUGAAAACCCAUUUGCAAGUAAUAAUCUUUCUCCCCGAAGGCUGUAUGACCAGAUCCCAUGUCUGAUUCUUGUGUAGGGACUCCAUCUCAUCUCCCAUAGCGGCAAACCAUUUUUCAGAAUCAGAACUUAAAAUGGCUUCUUUGUAAGUAGACGGCUCAGAUGUAUCUACCUCUUCAGCAACCUGCAGUGCAUAACCCACCAUGUCCUCAAAACCAUACCUCGUAGGUGGCCGAACUCCAACCCUCCUUGGCCGAUCUUGAGCUAUACUCUGAUGGAUAUCUGAUGGCAUAGAUUCUGGAAUAUCAGUUUCUGUCUGUGGCUCUUGAUCCUCCUCUUCAGGUUCCUUUAAAUCUCUCUCGUUCUGAAUGACUUGAAACUCCACCUGUUUGUCAAGACUCCCAGUUUCUGACGUAGUUGUAGGCUUCACAAUGGUUCUAAGCAGAGAACUUUCAUCAAAGACAACGUUCCUGCUCAUAAUAACCCUCUUUUCUGCUGGAGACCAGAUUCUGAAACCUUUCACUCCAUCUCCGUAGCCCACAAAUACUCCCUUUUUAGCUCUUGGUUCUAACUUACCUUCACUGACGUGAUAGUAAGCCGUACAACCAAAAGCUUUCAGAUUUGAAUAAUCAGCAGCUUUUCCAGACCACAUCUCCAUAGGUGUCUUGCACUGUAUGCCUAUAUGUGGUCCGCGGUUAAUCAAGUAGCAAGCUGUACUAACCGCUUCUACCCAGAAUCUUCUAUCUAGCCCAGCAUUAGAGAGCAUGCACCUUGCUCUCUCCAAAAGUGUUUGAUUCAUCCGCUCAGCUACACCGUUCUGCUGUGGUGUAUUUCUGACUGUACGAUGUCGAGCAAUCCCUUCAUCCUUACAGAAUUGAUCAAAUUCAGACCAACAGAAUUCCAGCCCAUUAUCAGUUCGCAACCUCUUGAUCUUCUUCCCUGUUUGAUUUUCCAUCAAAAUUUUCCACUCCUUGAACUUCUGGAAGGCUUCACUUUUAUGCUUCAUCAUGUACACCCAAGUCAUCCUUGAGUAGUCAUCAAUAAUGGACACAAAAAAUCUGCAGCCUCCCAAAGACUCAACACGGCAUGGACCCCAGCAAUCAGAAUGGAUAUAAUCAAGUGUGCCUUUUGUUCUAUGAAUGGCCUUUGGAAACUUGUUGCGAUGUAGUUUUCCAAAAACACAAUGUUCACAAAACUCUAGGCUCUUAACCUUAUGAUCAGCAAGUAAAUCCUCCUUUGACAGAAUUUGCAUCCCUCUUUCACCCAUAUGACCAAGUCUCAUGUGCCAUAACUUAGUCAUAUCCUUCUGGUGAAAUUCUGACGAUGCAACAUGGGCUGAACCUGUAACCGUGGAACCCUGUAGAAAAUACAAAGUACCACGCAUGACACCUUUCAGAAUCAAAUUUGAACCCUUCCAGACCCGCAAGACUCCAUCUUUUCCCGACCAGCUGAAUCCCUUGCUGUCCAAAAGACUGAGAGAUAUCAGAUUUUUCGUCAUCAAUGGAACGUGCCUGACCUCGUUCAAUGUGCAGAAGCUACCGUCAUGUGUCCUUAUCUUGAUCGAGCCUGUCCCAACCACCUUGCAGACAGAACUGUUGGCCAUCGAGAUGCUGCCUCCGUCUACCUGCUCAUAAGUCGUGAACCACUCUCUCCUAGGACAGAUGUGAUAGGAUGCCCCAGAAUCGAGAACCCACACAUCUGAAUGAUGAGUGUGCUCAUCCGCAACUAGGGCAAUAUCUUCUUCAGAAUUGGUGUCUUCUUCAGCAACAGCAGCAGACACUGAUUGUUUUUCCGAUUGCUUCUUCUUCUUCGGACAAUCAAAUUUCCAAUGUCCCUUCUCCUUGCAGUAAUUACAAACAUCAUCCGGCUUUGCACCCUUCGACAUCGGCUUAUUUUUCUUUCCGCCGUUUUUCCUUCCCUUUCCGCUACUGGUGAACAGACCGGAAGGCUGUAUGUCCGUACUUGUGCCGUUAGCCUUAUGCCGUAAUUCCCUGCUAUGAAGGGCCGAUCUGACUUCUUCCAGUGACACAGUAUCUUUCCCAACAAUGAACGAUUGAACAAAAUUCUCAAACGACAUUGGGAGAGAUACUAACAGAAUCGGGGCAGCAUCUUCAUCCUCGAUCUUCACAUCGAUAUUACGCAAUUCUAAUAACAAAGUAUUCAAUUGCUCUAAGUGUUCCCUGAGUUGUGUACCUUCAGCCAUUCGUAAACCGAAUAGACGUUGUUUCAGAAGCAGCUUGUUGGUUAGAGAUUUUGUCAUGUACAAACUCUCCAGCUUCAACCACAGACCAGCAGCAGUCUCUUCAUCCGAGACCUCCGUGAUGACGUCAUCCGCGAGACACAGCAUGAUCGUCGAGUGCGCCUUUUCCUCCAGAAUCGCCAUCUCAGGAGUAACGACGGUGUUCUUGUCUUUCGACAACGGCGCCCAGAAGCCUUGCUGUUUCAACAAAGCCCGCAUCUUGAUCUGCCAUAAACUGAAACUGUUCCUCCCUGUGAAUUUGUCGAUUUUCACGUUCAAAGCAGACAUCUCGAAUUCUCCAAGAACACCGAUUAACCGAGAGGCUCUGAUACCAAUUUGUUGUGCGGAAUUUGAGAUAAUACGAGAAAAUAUAAACGCGAAAAACAAGACAACAGAUUUACGUGGUUCACCAAUAAAUUGGCUACGUCCACGGGAAGAGAGGGAGCAGUUUUAUUAUGGAGAGGCAAAAACAGAAUUACCGAAUAGGGUUUCCCAUAGUGUCUAUAUAUAUAGUGCUAAGCUACGCCCUAAAAGGCUUGGGCCCAACAUACAGAAUCAACAGAAAAUUAAGGGCCCAAUACAACAACAUUGUAUACCGUCGGGCCGGGGGCGUCUCCGCCCCCCGGACCCCCAGGCCAGGGGGCGCGUCGCCCCACUGGACCCCCCGACUCGCUGACCGGGCAGCGAGACCCCCGUCCUUUCUGUUUGUAGCGGGUCCGAUUCAAGGCAUUCAACAUGUUCUCUGGUGAAAUUAUCACAAUUGACUAUGUAAAGUCAAGCAAUAAUGUGUCGAAUUCACUGACGAAAGGCCUAGUGAGAGAGGCAGUUGAAAGAUCACCUAAGGGAAGACAAUGUUCAUGAACAAGGUUAAGACUUUAAGGCUUGUUAAUG